rnacentral:misc_RNA from 1 species
AAGUCGUAACAAGGUUACCUUCUGCAGCGCAGCUCCGGAGACCUUGCAACCCCCUAUAGGGAGGCAGCACGACAGUAAAUAAAGCUCGCCGCGUGCAAGUCGACCCGUUGGUCAGCAACACAAUCGAAUUGACGGGGACCUCCUAAAGCCUGCAACACCAACCGUCCGAGGAAACUCGGGCGAGGCCCUCACGGGAUGGUAAGAGAGUGCAGGAUGAACAAUGGACGAUCCGCAGCGAAGACCCUACCGGCGAGAGCCCACGGGUACCGUUCACAGACUAAGUGAUUGUGGGCGGGGCGUCAGGCCCCGUCUAAGAUAUAGUCGGUCUCUGCUCGAAAGGGCAGAGCCUAGCGCGUCCGUAGGUGAACCUGCGGAAGGAUCAUUAAAGAAUCGCCCCCGUUUUUUGAAAUGGGGUUUCUAUUCCCCAAACCGUGUAUACAUACCUUUGUUGCUUUGGCAGGCCGCCUUCUAGGCGUCGGCUCCGGCUGACUGCGCCUGCCAGAGGACCCAAACUCUUUUUGUUUCAGUGAUGUCUGAGUACUAUAUAAUAGUUAAAAC